rnacentral:rRNA from 1 species
GAUGAACGCUGGCGGCGUGCUUAAUACAUGCAAGUCGAGCGAAAGGACGAGACGCUUGCUUGUCUGAUGUUUGCGGAGGACGGGAGAGACACACGUGGAUAACCUACCUAUCAGACUGGGAUCAUUUCGGGAAACCGGCGCUAAUCCCGGAUAAUAUUCUGCACCGCAGGGUUCAAAGGUAAAAGACGGUCUUUGGGUCACUUAUAGCUGGAUCCGCGCUGCAUUAGCUAGUUGGGAAGGUAAACGGUUUUCAGGGGUACGAUGCAUAUCCGACGUGAGAGGGGGAUCGGCCACACUGGAGCGUGGACGGGGACCUGGCUCCUACGGUACGCAGCAGUAGGGUAUGUUCCGCAGUAGGCGGAAGCAUGACGGAGCGACGCCGCGUGAGUGAUGAAGGUCUUCGGUUCGUAAAACUGUGUUAUGAGUGAAGAACAGAUUUGGAAGUAACUGUGCACAUCGUGACGGUACCUAAUCAGAAAGCCACGGCUAACUACGUG